UACGUAGGGUGCAAGCGUUAAUCGGAAUUACUGGGCGUAAAGCGUGCGCAGGCGGUUCUUUAAGGCAGAUGUGAAAUCCCCGGGCUCAACCUGGGAACUGCAUUUGUGACUGUAGAGCUGGAGUACGGUAGAGGGGGAUGGAAUUCCGCGUGUAGCAGUGAAAUGCGUAGAUAUGCGGAGGAACACCGAUGGCGAAGGCAAUCCCCUGGACCUGUACUGACGCUCAUGCACGAAAGCGUGGGGAGCAAACAGG
rnacentral:rRNA from 1 species